UGCGCAGGCGGUUUUGUAAGACAGGCGUGAAAUCCCCGGGCUCAACCUGGGAACUGCGCUUGUGACUGCAAGGCUAGAGUAUGGCAGAGGGGGGUGGAAUUCCACGUGUAGCAGUGAAAUGCGUAGAGAUGUGGAGGAACACCGAUGGCGAAGGCAGCCCCCUGGGCCAAUACUGACGCUCAUGCACGAAAGCGUGGGGAGCAAACAGGAUUAGAUACCCUGGUAGUCCACGCCCUAAACGAUGUCAACUAGGUGUUGGGUGGGUAAAACCAUUUAGUACCGGAGCUAACGCGUGAGGUUGACCGCCUGGGGAGUACGGCCGCAAGGUUAAA
rnacentral:rRNA from 1 species